GUCAGACUAGGUGGUCCUGCCCAGUUUUCAAAACACCAGUUAUCAGACAUGAUGGGUGGAAAAACUAGUGGAUCGGACUCGUUUCAUUAGAAUAAUUAAAGCUGUAACGGAUAGUGUCUAAAAUUGUAUCCUAGGUCCAGUAGCAUGGGCUGGUCAAUUAAGAUAAAUAUUGUAAGCAAAUUCAGCUUGAUGGAGAGCAAACUCCAAUGCUAAAUGGUACUAAUUAUAACAAUUCAAGUUCUAAGAAUGGGUAUGCUAACACCACAACAAUUAAUGAUAAUUAAUAUGCGAGACAGUUCUGACCCAUAGACUCCAUUGAGAACUUAGGCCUCGAGAUUUCUAGUCAAUCUGGUCCACAG
rnacentral:misc_RNA from 1 species